UACGUAGGGUGCAAGCGUUUAAUCGGAAUUACUGGGCGUAAAGCGUGCGCAGGCGGUUUUGUAAGUCAGAUGUGAAAUCCCCGGGCUUAACCUGGGACUGCGUUUGAAACUACAAGGCUAGAGUGUGGCAGAGGGGGGUGGAAUUCCACGUGUAGCAGUGAAAUGCGUAGAGAUGUGGAGGAACACCGAUGGCGAAGGCAGCCCCCUGGGCUGAGAUUGACGCUCAGGCACGAAAGCGUGGGGAGCAAACAGG
rnacentral:rRNA from 1 species